UACGGGGGGAGCAAGCGUUGUUCGGAUUUACUGGGCGUAAAGGGCGCGUAGGCGGUCGUGACAAGUCACUUGUGAAAUCUCCGGGCUUAACUCGGAACGGUCAAGUGAUACUGUCGGACUAGAGUACAGAAGGGGCAACUGGAAUUCUCGGUGUAGCGGUGAAAUGCGUAGAUAUCUGGAGGAACACCGGUGGCGAAGGCGGGUCUCUGGGCCGAAACUGACGCUGAGGAGCGAAAGCGUGGGGAGCAAACAGG
rnacentral:rRNA from 1 species